rnacentral:rRNA from 1 species
CACACUGGGAUUGAGAACGGCCCAGACUCCUACGGGGGGCAGCAGUGAGGAAUUUUCCGCAAUGGACGCAAGUCUGACGGAGCAACGCCGCGUGCAGGAGGACGGCCUUCGGGUUGUAAACUGCUUUUCCCAGGGACGAGAACGGACGGUACCUGGGGAAGAAGCCCCGGCUAACUACGUGCCAGCCGCCGCAGUAACAC